UUUUUGGGGGGGGGGUGGGGGGUUGUAUGUGUGUUAGUGAGCACUUGCUUGUUGUGUGUGUACUUCAUCUGUAUAUUUGUGUCGCUUGUAAGCAUGUAUCACCAUUGUAGGACUAUGGUGUGGGGCGUGGUGGGACUUAAUGCAUUAUUGAUUUACUGAAACGUUUUGCACAUGUCGCCCCUCUGGUUCGCCUCACUACUUUCCCUGCUCCACACCAGCAUGCCUGCGCCCACCCGCCGGGGACACAGGCAGGCUUUAAAUAUUUCAUAAGCCGGUUUUCAUUAAUAUAAUGGGAAUUAUCCAAGUCACUAAAUCUAAUUAUCAAGUGUGAAGUUCACUCACCCAUCCCUUUCCCUCAACCUUACCUUAGCCCAAACACAGAAAAAUGUAGGCUCAACCUAAUCCUCCACUCUCCACGUCUACCGUCGCUCUUUAUUUUCUCAAUACCUUUUGAUGUCCUUCUAGUCCUCCCUCUCUAUUUUCAUCCUCUCCUAGUUUCUUCUUGUGCAUAUAUUAUAAAGACAUUUUGUGAUAUUUUGGUUAGUUUUGGUCUUCGUUAAGGGUUUUGUUAAUCUGUUCGUGCACACAAUGUUUUGACGAAGCAAGCCGAAGUUUGAUAGCCGAAGUCUACACCCCUUCGUUGGCGAUUGGUCAACUGUAGGGGUGGCGCGAGUUUUUUCUCGAUUUAGUCCGAAAACUCAGUGUGAUUCAACAUGGCGAACGACAACUUCAAGCGUUUCUUAGCCAAGGAGGGACAGAAGUAAGCAAGACGGAAAGCAACAUGCCAACUUCACCAGAGAAUGAGGCACAAACACCAGUGAAUGGGGACAGCACCAGGUUUUGUUCUCUGCUCCCCAGCACUGACUGGUCAUUAACCCCCAGCCCAUCUCCCGCACUGAGCUGCAGUGCAGAAUGGAAAACCAUCUCUAUGAAGGACCUGGGAAACCCUAUCCUGAGCCCACCUCCAAUACCUACUCCACUGGCUUGCUCCUCACCAAUGCCACAGAGCAGCAGCAGUAGUAGCAGGAAUGUGAGAAGAAGGGAGAAAAGAGCUGCAGACUCAGACACAUCACUCGUAAAGGCGUUGCAAAGACCGAUCUCAAGAUCUGGAGAACGUCAUGCAUUGAACCACCCAGAGGGCCCUGGCACCUAUAGCUGAUUUCAUGGAUGAACUAUUGGCAAAACUCUGGUUGGAAUUCGAUCACCAGCUGCAUGAAUUUGUGCAUGACUUCAAGAAGACAUGGACCGAACGACUGGGACCACAGUGAAAUGAACAACUUGUUGUUCAGACAUCUCAGGAGUCAGACUCUAGACAAUUUUAUUCCAUAGACACUUGUCUUGUUGUUUGCACUUGUUGUUUGCGUGUCUGUUUUUCACAGACACAUUUGUACUAUUCUUCAAAUAAUUCCAUUUGUCUGACACUUUAAUGAUAUUUCAAUGAUGUGUUGUUUACAUGUCUGUUCUUAGCAGGCACUGUUGUAUUGUGGUUUACUUUCAGAGCCCAGAUGCAAGAAUAAGGUUUAUUUUUUUGUGUGCUGAAAAAGCUCUGUUUCUUCAUCUCGAUACAAGGUGUUUCAAUGCAUUCUAUUUGAUAAUCAAGUACUGACAAUGUUGAGAAGAGCUAUGUGCUGCAGACCUUACAGGCUCUUUUGUGUGGUGUAGUUCAAUCUAAAUUAACGCACACAGACAUCAUAAAAAUGUGGUUAAAAAAUUAAUUAACAAGAUUAAAACUACAUUUUAGUACGAAAUACUUUGGUUCACAGUGCACACAAAGAAUGUGUGCCUCCAAGGGGUGUGUGUGAGAGCAGGUCAAACAAAGUCCUAUUCUGCAUGAUUGGCUGGUCAUGGGUUGAGUUGUCCUCUCCUAACCAUGUCUUUUUGCACACAUGCGGAGGGGAGAAGACAUCCCUGAGCUUGUUUCUUGUUUCGCUUGCAAGCUGUGUCGCCCUGGCACGGGAGAGUCUGCCUGGCUCUUGAGGAUUGUUGUCCCCUGGCCACAACCCACUUCCACUCUCCAGGUUGGUAGUUGCCAGAAGGGAGGGGAGUGUCCCCAAAAGCGGGAGACACUUAUCUUGCGUUUCGGUUCAUGAGUUUCAUCUGUGGAGGACAGGUAGUUGUGGAAGGCUAGACAAGCCUUCAGACUGUCUUUAGCCUUUUCAGGGGUACACUCGAUUAGCCGAACAAGAGUCCUCAUCCUUGCAGCCAUGAUGCCGAAUGCAUUCUCUAUGACAACAAGAGUGGCGGUAGUUGUAGGUACGCCCAGGAUAAUUGAGAUGGACACCUGUGAAUGAGAGAUAAUAAGAAUAUAUGUUAGAUAUAAAAUAUAGCCUAUUUGGUUAAAAAAAAAGAAAAAAAAAUCCAGAACCAUAUUCCAAAAGCCUUAAUAAAAUGGCAUUUCUCAUACAGAUAUGCAUACAUCUAUACAGUAACAAGGGAAAUUAGAAACAGAAAAAUUGAUUCCAACAUUCUAUUAUCAACAUAUCUGGAUAAGGGUGACUCAGUUUCUCAUGUAGGGAGAGAGCUGCAUCUCCCAGAAAAACAUGGACUUGGUGUUGUGGUGCCUAGUAGGACAGCUGGUGGUGGUAAAUCAAGAGUCUUCUGCAGCAGUUUGGACCCAAAAUAACUAUCUUGAAACACUCAACCCUUGCUCUCUUGGCCGUAUGUCCCUACAUCCGUUUCUGUAUCUUUCCUAUUAUAUGUCUUGCUAGGUAAAACAAAUCUAGUAGAUCCUGGGCAAGAGGAGACGGUGAGGUAAUGGAGGUAAAGGGGAUGGGUGAGGGUGAAGAGGGGUUAGGCAGAGGGUGAAGUGGGAUGAGGUAGAGGAGGAGGAUGGGUGAGGGGUGAGGAAGAAGGGGAUGGGUGAGGUAGAGGUCAAUGGUUAAGAGUGGUGAGAUAGAUGAGGAUGGGUGAAGAGAGGUGCGGUAGAGGAGGAGGCAGUGAAGAGGGGUAAAGCCGGGUCCUCUGUGCCUUAAAGCCCCUGGUAACCGGCUUAGCAACAAACAGCUGUGCAUUUAAUUAGGCCUGUCUGGUACCACAAACACACACACACACAGUUUACCAUUUGAAAAAUACGUACUCAUCAAGGUUUUAUUUUUUUGGUGGGGGUAGAUCAGAUUGAAUAUUGCAGAUUGAUGGAAGCCACAAUGUAAUUAUCUGCAUAAUUUCCAAUCCCCCAAAAAUAUAUUUUUGUAAAUAAACAGUACCAGUCAGAAUUUUGGACACAUCUACUCAUUCAAGGGUUUUUC